AUGUAUACUAGCAAAGAAAUUGUCCAACUGAAUUUACCAUAGAAGAAAUACUGCAUUGCAUCUGUGGUACUUCCUGGCCUUGAAAUUGAUUUUGCAAGGUAUAUUUGUUCCGUUUGGAAAUUUUUGGUAGGGAAAUCAGACAGACUUCAGUUACUUGUGUGGUCACAUGAAUUAUAUCCUUGUGCUGUCACUUUUCAUGUUUUUCUAUGUAUACAUGAUUGGACCUCUAGGUUUAAGGAUGUUUUUUGCUGCUCUGCCAUGUGUAGGAUAUCCAAACAAGGCAAAAGAUGGGCCACACAAUGAAGAUCGCGUUCCUUGAAAAUCAGUCCAUUCAGAAUAUUCAGGGGAACCCCACUUAAAAACAGUUAAAACUUCUGCUAUGAAACACUGUGUUAUGAUAUAUCAGUAAGAUUGUCAUAAAAAGCCUGAUUUUCAUAUAGCGGCACAUACAUGGUGGACCAAUUGACAGCGAAGGCCUUUUAAACAUGCUAGAUUGGAAAGUUUUAUGAGAGGCUUGAGCAAAGUGAAGUAUUGUUUAUUUAGAAAUGUGAAUAUAGGAUGCAUUGUAUGAUUUGAUUGCUAUUUGUAAUAAAUGCAUCGUUUUUUUAUU